UUCUCAAGAGGCCAGUGUCUGGGCUGAUCAGUUAGGCUUCUUCAACCUUAGUCCCUCCCAGUCUACAUAAGGCCAUUCCUCCUGUGGGUUCAUCGGGUGGGCAUUGUGUUCUUAAAUCAGCCCAGUUUGCCCCUCUAGAACCUAACUUCCCAAGUCAGUGUCUAUAAUUUUAAGUCAGCCCCUCACUGGAUGCUUUCUGCUGAGCUUCUCUGUAAUACCCUAGAGAAGGAAUGCUGAGGAGCUCAGAGCCCGAGAAAACCAAGACCAGGAGGAGGUAGAAUUGGAGAAGAAAUUGAUUGUUUAGAGGGAGGGACAAAAAGUUGCUGUUGGGACUGGAGAGAUGGCUCACCAGUCAAGAGUGCUUAUGGCUUUUACUGAGGACUGGGGUUCAGUUCCCAACUGCCUAUAACCUUCGGCACCAGGGGAUCCUAUGACCUUUUCUGGUUUCUACUGGCUUCCAAAGAAGAACAGGGGUAUCAGGAGGUUAAAGCUAGACCGGACUGCAGAGGGGAUUCUAGGUCAGCCUCGGCCACGUAUUGGGACUCACAAACAAAAGGAGAACCAGAACAGUUCCCAGUUUACAGGUGAGAAAAGGGAGAGCAGGGCAGGACUGGCCUGAAGCCAUUCACCCCUGAGUUGCUAGAACCAACGCGGAAAGUUUCCACUCUUUGAUUUGAACUGGACAUUGUGUCAGAGACCAGAGUCAGCAGCAGGAGCCAUCCUUGUUUUCUCUCGUCCCUGAGAUGCUGUGGGGGCUCACAUCCCUACUUCUGCUGUAUUUGGGGUUACUUUCUCCAGUUUUGGUUGAUAUCAAGAAGACAGCAAUGGAAGACGGUCUAUGCAGUACAGUCCCUUGUGUGAUUGAAUUUUCCAAGGAACCUCUUAGAAAUCCCAUGAUUGUGAGCUAUAGGCUUAAUGAAAAUAUCAGCUUCCGUGUUGGUACCAGCCAUCUGAGUGCCCCCAUGGGUGAUCUCUCCACAGAGAAGCUGGAGUACUGCAUCCUGAUGACCCACAGCAUACUCAGAAGAGAAAACAUGUUCGACUCGCUCUAUGUGGGUCUAGGAGCUCAGAAAGACCUCACCCAAAACCCAGAGCUUCACAUCCCAGAAAGCAGUGUUGGUGGAGAGCCUGUGACCUUGACCUGUACCCUCCGAGGCACUUGCCGAGAGCACUACGCUCUUUUUCACUCCUGGAAAGGAUCCAUCAUGUCUUCCAACACGACCAUCUCCAUCCACCGCUCUUCAGCACUGGCCAUUAACCCAAAACCUGAGGACCAGGACAGCACUCUCAGAUGCCACUUAAAGCUAUCCUUAGAUAACCUGUCCAGCAGUAAAGUGGUCAAGCUACAACUGGUCUCACCUGUCAGGCUGCUCAACUACUCUUGUUUGCUGAAGAGGACACUCACAUGUAGCUGUUCCUUCCAUGGGAUCCCCACGCCUUCAGUGCAGUGGUGGGUGGGAGGAACCCCUGUGAGUGUGAAUAGCAUAGAUGCCAUCCUACACAUGACCACUACCACACUAGAACCCUGGACCAACAGCACCAUCCACCUCAUGUGGGAACCAGAAAUCGUUAAGAGACUUCGCUGUGAGGGGAAGAACCAAUAUGGAGUCCAUGCUUCCAGAAUCUUCUUGAUACCAGAUAAAAGCUCCAUUUCCAGUGUGUUCCUGAGAGGACUAAUUCAGGGCAUUGUGUAUGGGACCAUAGCAUCUGCUUUAUUCUUCUUCUUCCUCGUUGUGCUAGUAAUGAAGAUGCUUAAUUGGUGGGAGGAAAAUCAAACUUUCAAGAACAAAGAAGCCCCGACCCUCAUGAAACCAGUUUUGGGAGGAGCCAAUUCAGCUGAAGUCUGAAGCGGCAGGUGUACUAGCCUUGGCUCUGGCACUGAGAAGACAGAGGCAGAAGGAUCAGGAUUUCCAGCUACAUGCCUUGGAGAGAGAGAAGAGAGUCCACAGGCACUGCAGGUGGAUCAUGGUGCACGCCAGACUCCUCAAGCCUGACAGUGCUGCAGAAGAGCAAGACAUCAUCUCUACCCCAGACUCCAGAGCCAGACACCUACAGCCCAGCUCUCCCUGUGGCUGAGCAAACCCGCCACUCUCCAGGCCUUCCCUUUUCCCUCCGCCCCUCCGCCCCUUCCUCUUUUCCUCUUCCCCCUCCUCUUCCAUUUCUUCUCUUUCCUCCCGCUCUCCUCCUCUCUUCUCCUCUUCUCUUCCUCUUCUCCCAUCUUCUCUCCUUCCUCCCCCUUCCAUUUCUUUUUCUCGCCUCUUCCUACAUUAUCCUCCCCCUGACUCCUGUUCUUUUCUUUGCAUCUUUCUCUUCUUCCUCCUCCCUCUUCUGUCUCUUCCCCUUCCCCUCUUUCUUCCUUUUCCUCCCCUCUGCGUCCUCUUGUCCUAACUUCCAUGUAGUCUCUUCCAGGGUGGGUAGCCUGGUCCUUGCCCAUAGCUCAAGGGCAGGUAUCAGGGGAAGAAGGGCCUUGGCUUCACUGAAAAGUCAUGCAGGAAAGGGUUGACCAGAAGUUCAAGUACGGGAACUGGGGGGUUCAGGGUGCUCUGGAGAGAGCAGUUGUGGGGCAGGCAGAGACAACAAGAAUGAAUCAACCAGCGAC